rnacentral:rRNA from 1 species
GACGAACGCUGGCGGCGUGCUUAACACAUGCAAGUCGAACGGAAAGGCCCUGCUUUUGUGGGGUGCUCGAGUGGCGAACGGGUGAGUAACACGUGGGUAACCUGCCCUUGACUUUGGGAUAACUUCAGGAAACUGGGGCUAAUACCGGAUAGGAGCUCCUGCUGCAUGGUGGGGGUUGGAAAGUUUCGGCGGUUGGGGAUGGACUCGCGGCUUAUCAGCUUGUUGGUGGGGGAGUGGCUUACCCAGGCUUUGACGGGUAGCCGGCCUGAGAGGGUGACCGGCCACAUUGGGACUGAGAUACGGCCCAGACUCCUACGGGAGGCAGCAGUGGGGAAUAUUGCACAAUGGGCGGAAGCCUGAUGCAGCAACGCCGCGUGCGGGAUGACGGCCUUCGGGUUGUAAACCGCUUUCGCCUGUGACGAAGCGUGAGUGACGGUAAUGGGUAAAGAAGCACCGGCUAACUACGUG